rnacentral:rRNA from 1 species
CAAUAGCGUAUAUUAAAGUUGUUGCAGUUAAAAAGCUCGUAGUUGGAUUUGUGGCGUACGGUGGGUUCCGGGCACUUGUUGUCUGAGUAACUUGCUGUUGCCAUCCUUGGGUGGAACCUGUGUGGCAUUAGGUUGUCGUGCAGGGGAUGCCCAUCAUUUACUGUGAAAAAAUUAGAGUGUUCAAAGCAGGCUUAUGCCGUUGAAUAUAUUAGCAUGGAAUAAUGAGAUAGGGCUUUUUUGCUAUUUUGUUGGUUUGCGCAAAGAGGUAAUGAUUAAUAGGGACAGUUGGGGGUAUUCGUAUUCCAUUGUCAGAGGUGAAAUUCUUGGAUUUUUGGAAGACGAACUACUGCGAAAGCAUUUACCAAGGAUGUUUUCAUUAA